rnacentral:lncRNA from 1 species
CGCGUACUUUUUAACAAGUUGAAGGACGAAUAAUUUAAUUUUCUUUUUUCUCUUUAUUUUAUAUUACUUUUUUUGCCUCAUCUCUAUUCUUUCUCUAUUAUUUGCCUGGCCUUACGUGAAACUCUAUCUUACAUGAAAUUUAACCAACAGAGACUUUCCUCUUUUAUAACUAUAACCCAUACACAUAGUUAUUGUGACUAGAGCUAAAGAACGAUGACUUAAUUUACACUAUUAGAGAUGUGCUAACAUCCUAAUUCGCUAAUUUUUUUUGGCUUCGUCUGGUAUGGGACAAGAGAAGCGGCAUCAUGUUCGCAGAACAACAGCUCGAGGAAAAAUCAAUUUAGACUUGGCCGCGCCGACAGCCAGCACAAAUUAAUCUCGCAAUGACCUAGCUGUCUCGAGCCACGGCCAUGAGGUAGCAUUCUUCCAAGAAUCCUUUUGCACGACAAUUCAACCAGAUGCUGCCGGGGGCGCUCAGAUGACACAUACUGGCGACCUCAGAGACAUAGAUGAGGCGCAUACG